rnacentral:rRNA from 1 species
UGCGAGUCGAGCGGACAGAAGGGAGCUUGCUCCCGGAUGUUAGCGGCGGACGGGUGAGUAACACGUGGGUAACCUGCCUGUAAGACUGGGAUAACUCCGGGAAACCGGAGCUAAUACCGGAUAGUUCCUUGAACCGCAUGGUUCAAGGAUGAAAGACGGUUUCGGCUGUCACUUACAGAUGGACCCGCGGCGCAUUAGCUAGUUGGUGAGGUAACGGCUCACCAAGGCGACGAUGCGUAGCCGACCUGAGAGGGUGAUCGGCCACACUGGGACUGAGACACGGCCCAGACUCCUACGGGAGGCAGCAGUAGGGAAUCUUCCGCAAUGGACGAAAGUCUGACGGAGCAACGCCGCGUGAGUGAUGAAGGUUUUCGGAUCGUAAAGCUCUGUUGUUAGGGAAGAACAAGUGCAAGAGUAACUGCUUGCACCUUGACGGUACCUAACCAGAAAGCCACGGCUAACUACGUGCCAGCAGCCGCGGUAAUACGUAGGUGGCAAGCGUUGUCCGGAAUUAUUGGGCGUAAAGGGCUCGCAGGCGGUUUCUUAAGUCUGAUGUGAAAGCCCCCGGCUCAACCGGGGAGGGUCAUUGGAAACUGGGAAACUUGAGUGCAGAAGAGGAGAGUGGAAUUCCACGUGUAGCGGUGAAAUGCGUAGAGAUGUGGAGGAACACCAGUGGCGAAGGCGACUCUCUGGUCUGUAACUGACGCUGAGGAGCGAAAGCGUGGGGAGCGAACAGGAUUAGAUA